rnacentral:rRNA from 1 species
CGCGGCCUAUCAGCUUGUUGGUGAGGUAACGGCUCACCAAGGCAUCGACGGGUAGCUGGUCUGAGAGGACGAUCAGCCACACUGGGACUGAGACACGGCCCAGACUCCUACGGGAGGCAGCAGUAGGGAAUCUUGCGCAGUGGGCGAAAGCCUGACGCAGCAACGCCGCGUGGGGGAUGAAUGCCUUCGGGUUGUAAACCCCUUUCAGCAGGGACGAAAAUGACGGUACCUGCAGAAGAAGCUCCGGCCAACUACGUGCCAGCAGCCGCGGUAAUACGUAGGGAGCGAGCGUUGUCCGGAAUUAUUGGGCGUAAAGAGCUCGUAGGCGGUUCAGUAAGUCGGGUGUGAAAACUCAAGGCUCAACCUUGAGACGCCACUCGAUACUGCUGUGACUUGAGUCCGGUAGAGGAGUGUGGAAUUCCUGGUGUAGCGGUGAAAUGCGCAGAUAUCAGGAGGAACACCAGCGGCGAAGGCGGCACUCUGGGCCGGUACUGACGCUGAGGAGCGAAAGCAUGGGGAGCAAACAGGAUUAGAUACCCUGGUAGUCCAUGCCGUAAACGUUGGGCACUAGGUAUGGGAUCAUAUCAACGGAUUCCGUGCCGUAGCUAACGCAUUAAGUGCCCCGCCUGGGGAGUACGG